rnacentral:misc_RNA from 1 species
ACAAAGAACAAGAUCUCAAAAGAGAACCCGUGCCCACAUUAGGUUCCAUAUCCAAGAUACCACGCGACACUCCAUAGCCCAUACAAUCGAUUUGGCAUCUCAUUAUAAGGACCACAGAGACCGGUUCAAUGUUCGUCGACGCUGCAUGCAACAUAUUACGAAAAUGAUCUUUAGUUCAAACCAAACAAUGCCUUCAAUUAGGUAUGCAACACAGGAACCCACUAAACGCCCACAACAAAUAAGCCAUGAAGCUCAACUGAAGAGGUACGAACGCAUGGAAGUUGCUGCGCAAGCAGACAAUCAACCACCCGUAACAUACCAAUCACCACUCAUGCACCUUUAGGGUAAGACAUCCCCGAAGAUUGCCAGAGUUACAACCACCUCCUCGGCAUCAAUGCCAAGAAAA